rnacentral:piRNA from 1 species
GCUUCCGCCAGUGUCCUGGCCUGUA